ensembl:lncRNA
UGAUUGUUGGAGUACGAUUUCCUAGUCAAGCGUAGUAAGAUGUUGUUAUGUUUUCGACAAGAAUGACCUGGACAUUAUCGUGAGUGUGAUGAGAAAUAUAAAACUGAGACCCAACCAGAAGAAUUGUCAAAGAAAGACCCAUGGCAGCCAUGAAGAAAACCAGGACAAAGAAAUGCCUCCAGAAAACUGGCCUCUCAUAGCCGCCAUUUGGAUCAUCCUCUCAUGGUUUUGGAGUUAGGAAUAACAGACUCCGAGACCACAGAAGACGAAGGUGGAGACCACAUUGAGACCAAAGAAGGAAGCAGAGGUAUUCAGAACCAGGCUAUGCAUGCAGGGGACAGAAUGAUGGACAGCUGGG